rnacentral:rRNA from 1 species
GAUGAACGCUGGCGGCGUGCCUAAUACAUGCAAGUCGAGCGAACGGACGAGAAGCUUGCUUCUCUGAUGUUAGCGGCGGACGGGUGAGUAACACGUGGAUAACCUACCUAUAAGACUGGGAUAACUUCGGGAAACCGGAGCUAAUACCGGAUAAUAUUUUGAACCGCAUGGUUCAAAAGUGAAAGACGGUCUUGCUGUCACUUAUAGAUGGAUCCGCGCUGCAUUAGCUAGUUGGUAAGGUAACGGCUUACCAAGGCAACGAUGCAUAGCCGACCUGAGAGGGUGAGCGGACACACUGGAACAGAGACACGGUCCAGACUCCUACGGGAGGCAGCAGUAGGGAAUCUUCCGCAAUGGGCGAAAGCCUGACGGAGCAACGCCGCGUGAGUGAUGAAGGUCUUCGGAUCGUAAAACUCUGUUAUUAGGGAAGAACAUAUGUGUAAGUAACUGUGCACAUCUUGACGGUACCUAAUCAGAAAGCCACGGCUAACUACGUG